AAAGCAGGGUGGGCGAUCGCCUUCCGGCAGCCGCCGGACGGAGGAAAGUCCGAACACCUCAGGGCAGCGUGCUUCCUAACGGGAAGGGGGGGUGACCCUACGGAAAGUGCCACAGAAAAGAUACCGCCUUCGGUUCCGUCACCGGGACCGCGGGUAAGGGUGAAAUGGCGGGGUAAGAGCCCACCGCUUCGAUGGUGACAUCGGAGGCACGGUAAACCCCACGCGGUGCAAGGCCAAAUAGGCUCCGUACGAGUCGGCCCGGCUCAUUCGCCGGCCCCCGGGCCGGGCGGAAGCGGAGCGGGUAGGCCGCCCGAGGGCCGGGGCGACCCGGCUCCCAGAGGAAUGAUCGCCACCCCGUCCUUUCGGGCGGGGUACAGAAUUCGGCUUACAGCCCUGCUUUUCAG
rnacentral:RNase_P_RNA from 1 species